rnacentral:rRNA from 1 species
CAGCCGCGGUAAUACCAGCGCCACAAGUGCUUAAAGCGUUCGUAGCCGGUUUGAUAAAUCCUUUGUGAAAUCGUUAUCCUUAAUGUAACGGCGUGCAGAGGACACUGUCGAACUAGGGACCGGGAGGGGUUAGGAGUAUGCUUUGGGGAGCGGUAAAAUGCUAUAAUCCUUAGUAGACUACCUUUGGCGAAAGCGCCUAACCAGAACGGAUCCGACGGUGAGGAACGAAAGCUAGGGUAGCGAUCCGGAUUAGAUACCCGAGUAGUCCUAGCCGUAAACUCUGCGAGCUAGAUAUCGCAUUUUCUUCGUGAAAGUGCGGUGUCGGAGCGAAAGUGUCAAGCUCGCCGCCUGGGAAGUAUUGUCGCAAGACCGAAACUUAAAGGAAUUGGCGGGGGAGCACUACAACAGGUGCGGCGUGCGGUUUAAUCUAAUUUCACGCAGAGAAUCUCACCAGAAGCGACGGCAGGAUGAAAGUCAGGCUAAUGGUCUUACUUAACGAGCCGAGAGGUAUUGCACGGCCGCCGUCAGCUCGUACCGUAAGGUGUCCGGUUAAGUCCGGCAACGAGCGAGACCUAUGUCCACAAUUGCUAGCGAGCUUUGCGAUCGAGCACAUUGCGGGAACUGCCCUUGAAAAAGGGAGGAAGGUGUAGGCAACGGUAGGUCUGUAUGGUCCGAAUCUUCUGGGCAACACGCGCGCAACAAUGGUAGGGACAAUGGGAUGCAACUCCGAAAGGAGAAGCUAAUCCUCUAAACCCUAUCGUAGUACGGAUUGAGGAUUGUAACUCAUCCUCAUGACGCCGGAAUCUGUAGUAAUCGGAUUUUAUCAUAGUCCGGUGAAUACGUCCCUGCUCCUUGCACAC